rnacentral:rRNA from 1 species
UACGUAGGGUGCAAGCGUUGCCCGGAUUUAUUGGGCGUAAAGAGCGUGUAGGCGGCCUGAAAGGUCAGCUGUGAAAACUCGAGGCUCAACCUCGAGACGUCGGUUGAAACCAUCUGGCUAGAGUCCGGAAGAGGAGAGUGGAAUUCCCGGUGUAGCGGUGAAAUGCGCAGAUAUCGGGAAGAACACCCGUGGCGAAGGCGGCUCUCUGGGACGGUACUGACGCUGAGACGCGAAAGCGUGGGGAGCGAACAGG